AGUGGACGCUGGCGGUAGGCCUAACACAUGCAAGUCGAACGGCAGCACAGUAAGAGCUUGCUCUUACGGGUGGCGAGUGGCGGACGGGUGAGGAAUACAUCGGAAUCUACUUUUUCGUGGGGGAUAACGUAGGGAAACUUACGCUAAUACCGCAUACGACCUACGGGUGAAAGCAGGGGAUCUUCGGACCUUGCGCGAUUGAAUGAGUCGAUGUCGGAUUAGCUAGUUGGCGGGGUAAAGGCCCACCAAGGCGACGAUCCGUAGCUGGUCUGAGAGGAUGAUCAGCCACACUGGAACUGAGACACGGUCCAGACUCCUACGGGAGGCAGCAGUGGGGAAUAUUGGACAAUGGGCGCAAGCCUGAUCCAGCCAUACCGCGUGGGUGAAGAAGGCCUUCGGGUUGUAAAGCCCUUUUGUUGGGAAAGAAAAGCAGCAGGUUAAUACCCCGCUGUUCUGACGGUACCCAAAGAAUAAGCACCGGCUAACUUCGUG
rnacentral:rRNA from 1 species